rnacentral:rRNA from 1 species
UACGUAGGGGGCAAGCGUUGUCCGGAUUUAUUGGGCGUAAAGAGCGUGUAGGCGGCCUGGAAGGUCAGCUGUGAAAACUCGAGGCUCAACCUCGAGACGUCGGUUGAAACCACCUGGCUAGAGUCCGGAAGAGGAGAGUGGAAUUCCUGGUGUAGCGGUGAAAUGCGCAGAUAUCAGGAAGAACACCCGUGGCGAAGGCGGUUCUCUGGGACGGUACUGACGCUGAGACGCGAAAGCGUGGGGAGCGAACAGG